rnacentral:lncRNA from 1 species
AUAAGAGUUGCUUAUACAUAUAUGGUGAAAUUGUAUACUUUGUGAGUUCUAAAUUAUAUAUAUGAUAUAACAUUGUGGGAUUGAAAUCCCUAUGUACUCACCAGGUUUCCCAACCUGACCCACUCAAUUUAUUUAUAUCACAGGUGUUGAUAUGAAGUCACAUUACACUGAGAGAUUAAGGAGAUAUAAAUCACUAGUGAUAACGAAUGUAAGUUCUAUUUAUGCUUAUGUUUCUGUAUUGACGAUGACAUCCCAAAUGUUUUACAAUGAAUAAAAAUACUUUAUUCGGAAAUGUUGUGAUAACGUAUUUAUCAUGUUUUACUGGGAACAAAUUCCGCAAACAUUUUUAUUACAAAAGGUACUCUGAUUUUUAUAAAGCAUAAACAAAAUCAGUCUUUUCUGUCCGAGAAAAUGGGGAUGUCACAGUUGGUAUAAGUGCAUUAGUUUAAGCGAACUAGGAAUAUGGAUUUAUUUCUAGACAUAAACUUAGAAUGCUAAGGAAUGAUUGUGAGGAGUGUGUCUAAUGGAUUUAGGUAAUACACCUGAAUAGACACAAGCACUAGCUUAUUUAGGGAAAAUGCCUAACAUGCUUUUAUGUGCAAAAUGAUUUAUGAUAUGCAUUAUAUAAACGGAUUUAUGGUAUGUUGCCGACCGGAUCUAGAAAAUUUAUGUGUUCAGGUUUCUAAAUGUUUAAUUACGGUAUUAGAACUGAUAUGUAAUUUUUUCGCAGUAAUAAGGAGAUUUACACGUCAAUCGUUAAUCAAAUCUUUCCUAUCUUAAUUCUCGUAAUUUCGCCCCGAACAUCUGAUCUGGUGUAGAGAUCGAAAUGACAAGAACCCAAAGUGGAGUCAGGAACGCGACUGGAAACAGGAAUCAACCUCCACUGAUUAAGCAAAUACCUGUUGUCGUAGCCGAUCCUGAGCCAAUCACAAUGGUCGGAGUGCAAGCGAUGAUCCAAAUGAUUUUGGAUCGUUAAAUGGGCAGUCAGAGGAAGGGAACUACAGUGGGACUGUUGGUCAAGCCGAUGAACCGGUGAUUAGGAGGAUUAAUCAAGAUGACGGAGUCGAGAGGAAUGGAUGCAAGUACUAAGAUUUUCUGACUUGCAAGCCAUCGAAUUUCACUAGAAAGGAAGAUCCAAUCGAAGUUGUGGAUUGGAUCUCGGAGAUGGAGUUGGCUUUCAUGACGUGUGGUUGCAGAGGCAAAUUACAGACCAUGUUUGUAGUGCGGCAGUCUCGAGGAGGUGUUGUUCGGUGGUGGAACACCCUGGGGAAGACUUUAAGCCCCAAUGAGCCCCUACAACUGACAUGGGAAGAGAUUUUGGUGCAUUCAAACGUAAAUACGGUUCAGCCCAAAACCUGCUCGAGCUGGAGAACCAAUUCCUAACCUUGAAAAAAGGAAGCAUGACCAUCGAUGAAUACACCAAUAACUUCAAGGACAAGAUUGAGUUUGCUUUGCGCCAUGUUUCGGACAAGCUGACAAAAAUUGACAAGUACGCAAAGGGACUUCCAUGGGAGUAUGCGGUGCCAGUACGCCAGGCACCUACUCUGGAGGCAACUAUCUGGGCUGCCAAGUCUGUUGAAGAUAUGAUCAAAGGAAGAGCCGCCAGCAAGAUGAAGGUUGGCGAGAAGAGAAAAUUUGAAGGAUCCUCAAGGUCUGACGAGAAGAGAAAAUUCUCGAAGUCUGGUUCAAAGAAGUUCAAAGAAGGAAUGCAAUGUUAUGACAAGUACAGAAAGAAGCACAUUGGGAAAUGCUCUAAAGAGAUGACCUGCUUUAAAUGUGGGAAAACUGGUCAUUACGCCAGCGAAUCCACAACCAAGAGAGAAGUCUGCUUUAAGUGUGGUGAAGAAGGACACUUCAAGCAAGACUUCCCAAGGAGAGAAGAAGCAGCAAAACCAAAUGUGCCGCCAAAACCGAUGGCAAGAGCAUUCCAUAUGAUCCUAGACGAAGCAGCAGACAAUGAAAGGAAUCAGGAGUGAGGAUGGAUAUAUGAAGAUCAAGUUAUGAAGAAGCCAUGUAUAUAGUCUGUUAUGGUGUAGCCUAUUAGAGGCAUAGUCUAGGGUGAACUUGAACACCUAUGUAAUAGUUUCAAGAAAUAAUAUAAAACCUUCAUUUUGUUAUCUGAUGUGUUGAAUGAUUGUGUGAUUUGCUUGCAUGGUGACUUGGAUAUAGUGCGAGACAAUACCUGGGACGAGUAUGAGUAGGUGUGAAAGGUAGUAGAGGCCUAUACUACCGAAAGCACAGGACUCACGCUUGGAUCAGGGAAAGUCACAAGGUUACCAAGAAGCUAGUAAUUGAUUUCGUUUUAUUCAAAUAUGUCAUUACCAUUGUUUCAGUAAUGACUAAGAAGAUGAUUUUUAUUCCGAUCCUAAUGGUCAUAUCGAAUUGAGUCCGACUACGAUAAGUAUGUUACGCGGUUCAGAGAGCCAAGUUUGAUGUAACAUAUGACCUAAGCCAGAAGAUUGAAAUCAAAGAUAAUCAAAGCAAUCGGUAGAGGUAUCGCGAUAGUUGCUUGUAGCUAGAAAUGCUACCUUUUUAAGAUGAGAUUAGAACAUGAAGGAAAGUAUAGUCUGUACUGGAUGACUCUAAUAAACCUGAGUCUAAGUAUCACAACAUAUGAUGAUAGGUCAUUAGAAUAUGACACAUCGUUCCAUUGUAGUAAUAAAGGAACUUAUUUUAAGUUCGUAUCCAGUGAGGAUCAAGAUUUUGACUUGAAGGUCAUAAUUUGAAGUCUAACGUGAAAUAGGGAGCAAGUGCAAGAUCGAGCACCGCCUGCAGUCAAGAAGUCCAAGAGUUAGAUACUCAUUCGAAAAAACAAGGAAGUUACGAUUAUUACCUAGGAUGAAUAGAUAACGUAUGGAGUCAUUAUAAUGCCCUGUUUCGUUGAUGAUUCCAGGACGUAAUCAUCCUAAGGGGGAGAUAAUUGUAACGCCCGCAGAUUCGGGCUAGCCAAUUUAAAGACAAUGAGCGUCAAAAAUGAGCUUUUAAUGGAAGAUUAUUUAUAAGGAUUAAUCUUAACCAUGUUGUAGAAUAUAUCUCAAGGGUUCCGUACAUAUAAAGAACGCCGAAAUCCGAGUUCUAACGAAGAAGUUAUGGCACGUCGAACAUUUUCGGCAAAACCGACACGACACCGUGAGACAUAAAUAGUGAAUUUACGAUAGAGGACUUUUUAGCCUUAGUGAUCUAAAACAAAGUUUUAGUAUACGUUAAACCGAGAACAUCCAUCAAAAGAACGCCCAAAUCUGACUUCGUAUGAGGAAGUUAUGAUUUUUCUAACAUUUAGCAUAACAGUGCACAACCCGAAAAUUCGAAUUUUAAAUCGGUCAAUUUUCAACCAAAACAAUCUAAACAAGAAAUGAAAAUAUCGGUAAUAGGAGUUAAACGAUAAAAAGAUAGUCGAAAAUGAAGCUCGUAUGCGAAAAAUAUGGACGAAGCUUAGUCUCUACUUUUCGAGGGCGGCGGAUUCGAAUACAGUUUUGUAAAUCUGAGAUACUAUAAGAAUUAGCCGACGGAGUCUAAAUAAAAGCAAUAUUACUCGUAAAUAACAACGCAUGGAUAUAAAUAACGUAGAAAAUGGAGCUCGUACGCGGAAGAUACGAACAAAGCUUAGAGACUACUUUACUAUAAAACUCCUAUAAAUAAAGGGUGAACUCCUCAUAUUUUCUUCACACCAUAAGCCUUUCUUUCUCUCUCUAACUUCUCUCUAGCCUCCCUAAUGCCCUCCCAAGUCUAGGGAACCUCCCUAACACGAGAAGGAAGCCCCAGAGCGCCCGACGGCUCCGAGAAGAAAAGCUUUCGACUCAGAAACGCUGCUUCAGCGAAGCUCGGUUUUCCAUAAAACCCGUUGUAAGUGAGCUACGCCUACGCUAUUUUUUAAAUAACUUUUAUUUAAUUAUAGUAACAUUAUUAGGAAAUUAUAAUAAGUACUUUGGCUAUUAUUAUGGAUUAUAUAAGUAUUGAUUAACACUUAUAUAAUAGUAAUAAUAACUAGACUAUUAAUUAGUCUCGGUGAAUAAUAGACUAAACUCUAGUGGUAAUAAUACUAGGUUUCGUCGAAGGAAAUAAUUUUUUUGAAGAAGCGAAGUGCUAUUUGUGUUCGGAAUCGCCACCGUAUCAGGUGAGUGCAUAGUCCCUUUCAUGAACAUGAUUUUAAUACAAGUAUUAAUUAAAGUAUUAAAUAUAUGUUAAAGAGUUAAAUAUUUGAUGAAGAGUUUAUGUGUGAGUGCAUAGUCCCUUUCAUGAACAUGAUUUUAAUACAUGUAUAGAUUGAAGUAUUAAUUAUAUGUUUAUAUGUGAGUUAAUUGAUGUUGCUUAAAAUACGUGUUAAAGAACAUACCUGAUUAUAUAUGAUGAUUUAGGAUAAAGAGUAGACCUAAAUUAAUUAUGAGAAAUAUUGGGUAGUAUUUUCUUAUGAGUACAAGUGAGUUAUACUCAGAGAAUACAACUUUAGUAUAUGUCAUUUAUCCAGGAGCAUGGAUUAGACACAGUCAUUGUCCCUAGUCCGAGAGUAUGGAUUGGAGAUAGUCAAUUGUCAUUAAGUCGGGGUAUGGAUUAAUACAUAGCCAGUUGUCCUUAGUCUGGGAGUAUGGAUUAAGAUAUAGUCAUUCGUCCCUAGUCCGAGAGUAUGGAUUAGGCAUGAUCAUUCGUCAUUAAUCCGAGAGUAUGGAUUAGUCAUUCGUCCCUAGUCCGAGAGUAUGGAUUAGGCAUAACCAUUCAUCAUUAAUCUAAGAGUAUGGAUUAAUUAAAGCCGUUCAUUUAUGAUCCGGGAGUAUGGAUUAGGUAAAACGGUAAAUCUUGGGUUUGAGAGUAUGGAUAGUCUCGUUGUGAGGAUCGACGGGGUGGGAUAAGAGUUGCUUAUACAUAUAUGGUGAAAUUGUAUAUUUGGUGAGUUCUAAAUUAUAUAUAUGAUAUAACAUUGUGGGAUUGAAAUCCCUAUGUACUCACCAGGUUUCCUGACCUGACCCACUCAGUUUACUUAUAUUAUAGGUGUUGAUAUGAAGUCACAUUACACUGAGAGAUUAAGGAGAUAUAAAUCACUAGUGAUAAUGAAUGUAAGUUCUGUUUAUGCUUAUGUUUCUGUAUUGACGAUGACAACCCUAAUGUUUUAAAAUGAAUAAAAAUACUUUUAUUCGGAAAUGCUUUGAUAACGUAUUUAUCAUGUUUUACUC